UUAAGCGACUAAGCGUACACGGUGGAUGCCCUGGCAGUCAGAGGCGAUGAAGGACGUGCUAAUCUGCGAUAAGCGUCGGUAAGGUGAUAUGAACCGUUAUAACCGGCGAUUUCCGAAUGGGGAAACCCAGUGUGUUUCGACACACUAUCAUUAACUGAAUCCAUAGGUUAAUGAGGCGAACCGGGGGAACUGAAACAUCUAAGUACCCCGAGGAAAAGAAAUCAACCGAGAUUCCCCCAGUAGCGGCGAGCGAACGGGGAGGAGCCCAGAGCCUGAAUCAGUGUGUGUGUUAGUGGAAGCGUCUGGAAAGGCGCGCGAUACAGGGUGACAGCCCCGUACACAAAAAUGCACAUACUGUGAGCUCGAUGAGUAGGGCGGGACACGUGGUAUCCUGUCUGAAUAUGGGGGGACCAUCCUCCAAGGCUAAAUACUCCUGACUGACCGAUAGUGAACCAGUACCGUGAGGGAAAGGCGAAAAGAACCCCGGCGAGGGGAGUGAAAAAGAACCUGAAACCGUGUACGUACAAGCAGUGGGAGCACGCUUAGGCGUGUGACUGCGUACCUUUUGUAUAAUGGGUCAGCGACUUAUAUUCUGUAGCAAGGUUAACCGAAUAGGGGAGCCGAAGGGAAACCGAGUCUUAACUGGGCGUUAAGUUGCAGGGUAUAGACCCGAAACCCGGUGAUCUAGCCAUGGGCAGGUUGAAGGUUGGGUAACACUAACUGGAGGACCGAACCGACUAAUGUUGAAAAAUUAGCGGAUGACUUGUGGCUGGGGGUGAAAGGCCAAUCAAACCGGGAGAUAGCUGGUUCUCCCCGAAAGCUAUUUAGGUAGCGCCUCGUGAAUUCAUCUCCGGGGGUAGAGCACUGUUUCGGCAAGGGGGUCAUCCCGACUUACCAACCCGAUGCAAACUGCGAAUACCGGAGAAUGUUAUCACGGGAGACACACGGCGGGUGCUAACGUCCGUCGUGAAGAGGGAAACAACCCAGACCGCCAGCUAAGGUCCCAAAGUCAUGGUUAAGUGGGAAACGAUGUGGGAAGGCCCAGACAGCCAGGAUGUUGGCUUAGAAGCAGCCAUCAUUUAAAGAAAGCGUAAUAGCUCACUGGUCGAGUCGGCCUGCGCGGAAGAUGUAACGGGGCUAAACCAUGCACCGAAGCUGCGGCAGCGACACUAUGUGUUGUUGGGUAGGGGAGCGUUCUGUAAGCCUGUGAAGGUGUACUGUGAGGUAUGCUGGAGGUAUCAGAAGUGCGAAUGCUGACAUAAGUAACGAUAAAGCGGGUGAAAAGCCCGCUCGCCGGAAGACCAAGGGUUCCUGUCCAACGUUAAUCGGGGCAGGGUGAGUCGACCCCUAAGGCGAGGCCGAAAGGCGUAGUCGAUGGGAAACAGGUUAAUAUUCCUGUACUUGGUGUUACUGCGAAGGGGGGACGGAGAAGGCUAUGUUGGCCGGGCGACGGUUGUCCCGGUUUAAGCGUGUAGGCUGGUUUUCCAGGCAAAUCCGGAAAAUCAAGGCUGAGGCGUGAUGACGAGGCACUACGGUGCUGAAGCAACAAAUGCCCUGCUUCCAGGAAAAGCCUCUAAGCAUCAGGUAACAUCAAAUCGUACCCCAAACCGACACAGGUGGUCAGGUAGAGAAUACCAAGGCGCUUGAGAGAACUCGGGUGAAGGAACUAGGCAAAAUGGUGCCGUAACUUCGGGAGAAGGCACGCUGAUAUGUAGGUGAAGUCCCUCGCGGAUGGAGCUGAAAUCAGUCGAAGAUACCAGCUGGCUGCAACUGUUUAUUAAAAACACAGCACUGUGCAAACACGAAAGUGGACGUAUACGGUGUGACGCCUGCCCGGUGCCGGAAGGUUAAUUGAUGGGGUUAGCGCAAGCGAAGCUCUUGAUCGAAGCCCCGGUAAACGGCGGCCGUAACUAUAACGGUCCUAAGGUAGCGAAAUUCCUUGUCGGGUAAGUUCCGACCUGCACGAAUGGCGUAAUGAUGGCCAGGCUGUCUCCACCCGAGACUCAGUGAAAUUGAACUCGCUGUGAAGAUGCAGUGUACCCGCGGCAAGACGGAAAGACCCCGUGAACCUUUACUAUAGCUUGACACUGAACAUUGAGCCUUGAUGUGUAGGAUAGGUGGGAGGCUUUGAAGUGUGGACGCCAGUCUGCAUGGAGCCGACCUUGAAAUACCACCCUUUAAUGUUUGAUGUUCUAACGUUGACCCGUGAUCCGGGUUGCGGACAGUGUCUGGUGGGUAGUUUGACUGGGGCGGUCUCCUCCUAAAGAGUAACGGAGGAGCACGAAGGUUGGCUAAUCCUGGUCGGACAUCAGGAGGUUAGUGCAAUGGCAUAAGCCAGCUUGACUGCGAGCGUGACGGCGCGAGCAGGUGCGAAAGCAGGUCAUAGUGAUCCGGUGGUUCUGAAUGGAAGGGCCAUCGCUCAACGGAUAAAAGGUACUCCGGGGAUAACAGGCUGAUACCGCCCAAGAGUUCAUAUCGACGGCGGUGUUUGGCACCUCGAUGUCGGCUCAUCACAUCCUGGGGCUGAAGUAGGUCCCAAGGGUAUGGCUGUUCGCCAUUUAAAGUGGUACGCGAGCUGGGUUUAGAACGUCGUGAGACAGUUCGGUCCCUAUCUGCCGUGGGCGCUGGAGAACUGAGGGGGGCUGCUCCUAGUACGAGAGGACCGGAGUGGACGCAUCACUGGUGUUCGGGUUGUCAUGCCAAUGGCACUGCCCGGUAGCUAAAUGCGGAAGAGAUAAGUGCUGAAAGCAUCUAAGCACGAAACUUGCCCCGAGAUGAGUUCUCCCUGACUCCUUGAGAGUCCUGAAGGAACGUUGAAGACGACGACGUUGAUAGGCCGGGUGUGUAAGCGCAGCGAUGCGUUGAGCUAACCGGUACUAAUGAACCGUGAGGCUUAACCUU
rnacentral:rRNA from 1 species